GCCUGCGACCCGGGCCGCUCCUACACCUGCCGGGGAGAGCGCGGCCGCGCGAUGGUCGCGGUCUUAAUAUGGCUGCUGUUUGUUUGGACCCGACUGGGUGUGUUCCAAGCGCGCUCCAGACUCGGUUGCAAGGUGGCUCUUGCAGCCCCCUUUUGCAUAGGAGGAAACGGAAAUUCGGAGAAGUAGAGCAGCUGGCCCAAGGUCACGCAGAGCUGGGACUGAAUCCAGGAAUCAGACUGUCAAGAUUCCAAGGCUGCUUUUUCCAUCACACCAAUACAGCCUCUAAUUCAAGAAGGCCUGAAAUGGUUAAAAACAAAAACAAGUAUUGCUGCCGUGUGAAUCCAAGCCCCAGUGCCCCGUUUGAGCCAAAUUUAAAGGUACUGAAAUUUGAUGUAUUUUUACCACUUAACAAUCCUGUGAAAACUGGGUUUUAAACCUGUCGAGUUUAAAACCUCAUGAAGAACUAUUUGGCUACCAAGUUAAAUAAGGUCAUCAGUGUGCAUUUCUAUAUCCACAUUGAGGCUCUUAAGUUCAGACUGAUGGAACUGCUCCGAAGAAGUGGAUUUGGGUGGUAAUCUGAAGUUCGAGUUGUUCCCUGUCUCCUACAAAUGCCAAAGGCUGGAAUCAUUGGGACCUUGCAAAGUGUCCAUCACAGCUUCUCUUCUCUUGGUCAAAUUCUGCUUAUGCAUGAUAAUCCCAGAAACAAUAAGAAGGCAUCUUCUGCGCACAGUGGUCUCUAAAAAUAUUUCUCAGCACUUGACUCCUGAUUGAGUCAAUGUAAAGGAAGCUUUUAUGACAGCAAUGCCAAUGUUCGAGUAAAUGCUGUUAGUGUUAUAUCUUAGGAAUUACCGCAGUGAUGUAGGAAGGAUUAAGAAAAUGAUGAACAGCAUUGGAUGCUUUCUUCUUCAUGUUUCCAACCAAGAUCCUUCUUUUGCAGUAGCUGGAGCUCUGGAUCAUUCCUUGGAUAUUUUUGCAGAUGUAGAGUCUGAAAAGACUCAAUGAAAAUUUAAGUGUUUUAAUUUACUGAACAAAUUCCAACCAGACUUCAAAAUGAAGGUGCAAAAAGGGGGCAAAUUAAUACAAAUCACUUAAAUGUAAUAAACAAUGUGAAGAUGAUGAGAAAUUCAUUGCUAUAGAGAAGACUUACUUCUUGAACAGAAUGUUUAAAAUGUAAUUUCAUUUUUAAAAAAUUGUUUAAACCAUUUUAUUUUAUUUAUUUGUGGGAGUGGGGUCCUUGUUUUUUGGGGGUUUUUUUUUUUUUUUUGGCAUGGAGGGGCUGGGGAUCGAACACAGGGCCUCAUGCAUGCUAAGCACGUGCUCUAGCACUGAGCAAUACGCACACCCCCUCCUCAGAAAAUCAAUUCUUUACAAGUUGGGUUUGAAAGUUAUUUUCAAAAGAAUCAAAAUACUUCAAAACUCUUCAAGAAUGUUUAUGUCAUUGAGACCCAUAUGACAUUUCCCCUGCUCUCUGAUGAGUCAGUUUUGCGAACACUUUAAAUGUUCCACAGUGAAAUGGAAAUGUGACUUCCUCAAGUGGAUCUUAACCCGUGAGUAACCCUGUAACAAUGAAAUGACUGCGUUUUAGAAAUAUUUUAUAACAGUUAUCCAUAUGAAAUUUAGAGGCUCUCUAAAGAUAAUGUCGUUUUAUAUCAAGUGAAUUUAAACCAAAACACUAAGACCAACUUCAUCAAACAAAAUUGCUUUCUGGCCUGCUGAUCGUUCACUGUUUAACUUAUAUGAACAAGCAAAUUAAAUAGUUUAGGAAAUAAUAUUAAUAUCCUAAGGCUAUCAUUUUGAUAAAUCUCUAGUUGGAACUUAAAGCAAUUAAUUAUAAUUUAACUUUACUCCUUAAGUGUAAUUAGAUCUGGA